rnacentral:rRNA from 1 species
CCCUUAGAUGUUCUGGGCAGCACGCGCGCUACAAUGGUCUUCGCAAACGGAUGCAUUCUCGAAGGAGAAUGCCAAUCUUGGAAUCUAUGCCUUGGUCGGGACAGUUGCUUGCAAUUUUUCGACUCGAACCAGGAAUUCCUUGUAAUCGUGAUUCAUCACAUCACGAUGAAUACGUCCCUGCCCUUUGUACACACCGCCCGUCGCUCCUACCGAUCGAAGAGUUAGGUGAAUUGUUUUGAUCGAUAAGAUUUGACUAUGGUCAACUCUCGUUGUGAAAUUCUGUGAAGCUGACUGUUUAGAGGAAGGAAAAGUCGUAACA